AGAGUUUGAUCCUGGCUCAGGAUGAACGCUAGCGGCAGGCUUAAUACAUGCAAGUCGAACGGGAUUGGGGGCUUGCUCCCAUGAGAGUGGCGCACGGGUGCGUAACGCGUAUGCAACCUACCUUGAACAGGGGGAUAGCCCGGAGAAAUUCGGAUUAAUACCGCAUAAUAUAACGGGGUCAGCAUUGGCCUGUUAUUAAAGAUUUAUUGGUUCAAGAUGGGCAUGCGUGCCAUUAGCUUGUUGGUGAGGUAACGGCUCACCAAGGCAACGAUGGCUAGGGGAUCUGAGAGGAUGACCCCCCACACUGGUACUGAGACACGGACCAGACUCCUACGGGAGGCAGCAGUAAGGAAUAUUGGUCAAUGGGCGCAAGCCUGAACCAGCCAUGCCGCGUGCAGGAGGAAGGCCCUACGGGUUGUAAACUGCUUUUAUCUGGGGAUAAACCUUACUAUGCGUAGUAAGCUGAAGGUACCAGAUGAAUAAGGAUCGGCUAACUCCGUGCCAGCAGCCGCGGUAAUACGGAGGAUCCGAGCGUUAUCCGGAUUUAUUGGGUUUAAAGGGUGCGUAGGCGGCUCAUUAAGUCAGUGGUGAAAGGUAACCGCUUAACGGGGACACUGCCAUUGAUACUGAUGAGCUGGAGUACAGAUGAAGUGGGCGGAAUGUGUCAAGUAGCGGUGAAAUGCAUAGAUAUGACACAGAACACCAAUUGCGAAGGCAGCUCACUAAAGUGUAACUGACGCUGAGGCACGAAAGCGUGGGGAUCGAACAGGAUUAGAUACCCUGGUAGUCCACGCCCUAAACGAUGAUUACUCGAUGUUAGCGAUAUACGGUUAGCGUCAAAGCGAAAGCGUUAAGUAAUCCACCUGGGGAGUACGGUCGCAAGAUUGAAACUCAAAGGAAUUGACGGGGGCCCGCACAAGCGGUGGAGCAUGU
rnacentral:rRNA from 1 species